rnacentral:tRNA from 1 species
GGGAAUGUGACUCAGUGGUAGAGUGCUUGCCUAGUAUGUAUGGAGUCCUGGGUUCAAUUCCUCAGUACCA